rnacentral:rRNA from 1 species
GCAGCUUACACAUGCAAGUCGAGCGGUAGCACAGAGAAGCUUGCUCUCGGGUGACGAGCGGCGGACGGGUGAGUAAUGUCUGGGAAACUGCCUGAUGGAGGGGGAUAACUACUGGAAACGGUAGCUAAUACCGCAUAACGUCGCAAGACCAAAGUGGGGGACCUUCGGGCCUCAUGCCAUCAGAUGUGCCCCAGAUGGGAUUAGCUAGUAGGUGGGGUAAUGGCUCACCUAGGCGACGAUCCCUAGCUGGUCUGAGAGGAUGACCAGCCACACUGGAACUGAGACACGGUCCAGACUCCUACGGGAGGCAGCAGUGGGGAAUAUUGCACAAUGGGCGCAAGCCUGAUGCAGCCAUGCCGCGUGUGUGAAGAAGGCCUUCGGGUUGUAAAGCACUUUCAGCGGGGAGGAAGGCGAUAAGGUUAAUAACCUUGUCGAUUGACGUUACCCGCAGAAGAAGCACCGGCUAACUCCGUGCCAGCAGCCGCGGUAAUACGGAGGGUGCAAGCGUUAAUCGGAAUUACUGGGCGUAAAGCGCACGCAGGCGGUCUGUCAAGUCGGAUGUGAAAUCCCCGGGCUCAACCUGGGAACUGCAUUCGAAACUGGCAGGCUAGAGUCUUGUAGAGGGGGGUAGAAUUCCAGGUGUAGCGGUGAAAUGCGUAGAGAUCUGGAGGAAUACCGGUGGCGAAGGCGGCCCCCUGGACAAAGACUGACGCUCAGGUGCGAAAGCGUGGGGAGCAAACAGGAUUAGAUACCCUGGUAGUCCACGCCGUAAACGAUGUCGAUUUGGAGGUUGUGCCCUUGAGGCGUGGCUUCCGGAGCUAACGCGUUAAAUCGACCGCCUGGGGAGUACGGCCGCAAGGUUAAAACUCAAAUGAAUUGACGGGGGCCCGCACAAGCGGUGGAGCAUGUGGUUUAAUUCGAUGCAACGCGAAGAACCUUACCUGGUCUUGACAUCCACAGAACUUUCCAGAGAUGGAUUGGUGCCUUCGGGAACUGUGAGACAGGUGCUGCAUGGCUGUCGUCAGCUCGUGUUGUGAAAUGUUGGGUUAAGUCCCGCAACGAGCGCAACCCUUAUCCUUUGUUGCCAGCGGUUAGGCCGGGAACUCAAAGGAGACUGCCAGUGAUAAACUGGAGGAAGGUGGGGAUGACGUCAAGUCAUCAUGGCCCUUACGACCAGGGCUACACACGUGCUACAAUGGCAUAUACAAAGAGAAGCGACCUCGCGAGAGCAAGCGGACCUCAUAAAGUAUGUCGUAGUCCGGAUUGGAGUCUGCAACUCGACUCCAUGAAGUCGGAAUCGCUAGUAAUCGUAGAUCAGAAUGCUACGGUGAAUACGUUCCCGGGCCUUGUACACACCGCCCGUCACACCAUGGGAGUGGGUUGCAAAAGAAGUAGGUAGCUUAACCUUCGGGAGGGCGCUUACCACUUGGAU